GGUGAACGCUGGCGGCGUGGAUAAGGCAUGCAAGUCGAAUGGGUUUAGACCCAUGGCAGACGAGGUAGUAACACGUAGGUACAUCCCCCAGAGUCGGGCAUAAUCGGUCGAAAGAUCGGAUAAUACCCGAUGGUCCCGCAAGGGUAAAGAUUUAUCGCUUUGGGAGUGGCCUGCGUCGUAUCAGCUUGUUGGUGAGGUAAUGGCUCACCAAGGCUAUGACGCGUAGGGGAGGUGAGAGCCUGACCCCCACCGAUGGAACUGAGACACGGUCCAUACUCCUACGGGAGGCUGCAGCCGAGAAUAUUCCGCAAUGGACGAAAGUCUGACGGAGCGACGCCGCGUGAAGGAUGACGGUCUUCGGAUUGUAAACUUCUUUUAUGAGGGAGGAAAUUUUGACGUUACCUCAUGAAUAAGGGGCUCCUAAUUCCG
rnacentral:rRNA from 1 species